GACAGAGGGUGCAAACGUUGUUCGGAAUUACUGGGCGUAAAGCGAGUGUAGGCGGUCUCCUAAGUCGGGUGUGAAAGCCCCGGGCUCAACCCGGGAAGUGCACUCGAAACUGGGAGGCUAGAGUAUCGGAGAGGUUGGUGGAAUUCUCGGUGUAGAGGUGAAAUUCGUAGAUAUCGAGAGGAACACCGGUGGCGAAGGCGGCCAACUGGACGAAUACUGACGCUGAGGAGCGAAAGCGUGGGGAGCGAACAGG
rnacentral:rRNA from 1 species